GACAAGGGUAUCUGGCAGGGAUCAGGAAGCUUCUGGGAUUAAUUAGGGCUCAACUGGGUAUUAGGCGGAAAGCAGGUGGCUCUUGGAAUGAGAGGUGGGGAGAGGGCCUCUGGCGCGGGAGGAGUCGGGGAAAUCCCAGGAUGUCCGGGGGGUUCGCCAAGGGACUCAGUGAGACCUAAACAUCUGAGGAAUCACGCGGGAUCGGGUGGGUCCGGGGUCGAGAGGGUUCCGGCUCACCAGUAUCAUGCAGGAAGAGUACCAACGUGAUCCCCCAGGUCAGCACAGUAUGCCCAGUCCGCACCAGGACCCCAGGGGUGAGGAGCGCCCAGGGCGCCAUCGCCUCGGCCCCGGGCCCCACCCGGAAGAAGCGCUCAGAGGGGCGGGCCCUCCGAGGAGCAGGGCUCGCGGCCACCCGGGGAUUGGCGGAUACGGGUUGUGGGCGUGGCCGGAUUGGGCCAGGGAGGCCGCCUAUUGGGCGACAGCUGCGGCUUAGUAGGCCCUCGAGCCAACAGGUGCCUGAAGAAGCUGAGGGCGGGGCCGGCGCGCGCGCAGCCAGUAACUCCCCCAGCUCCAUCCCCCACCCCACCAGACCUGAGCAUCCAGGUAACUUUCAAAAAUCUAGCUCCCGUUGCGAGUCCCGAUCCAGUCCCGCUGGAGUUCCACCACCCGCCCCCAGGCCACAGCCUCACGCAUGCGUCCAGGAAGAUCCAAGUGUUGUGACUCCAGGUGGCAGAAUUGCGCUCGGUUCGGAGACGAGAUGCUCGAAGCCUCAAGAGAGGCAGGACUAGCCCAAAGUGACGCCGGGGUGAUAACUUUACCUCCGUCUAUUCAUUUUCAGAUUUUGCAGACGGGAUGAGAGCAGAGUGGAGACAGCCAUUGGAGGCAGGGAUCCUGUUGGUCUGUGGCCAGCUGGACCCUCAGUGUCUGGGCACGGGGUAUGGAGAGACUGCAGAGGAAAAGCAAGUGUUCCAGCCCCAUCUGCCACUGUCGAAGAAUGGAUGGUUUUGAACUGUGGUGUUGGGAGAAGCUCUUGAGAGCCCUUUGGACUGCAAGGAGAUCCAACCAGUCCAUCCUAAAGGAAAUCAGUCCUGAAUAUUCAUUGGGAGGACUGAUGCUGAAGCUGAAACUCCAAUACUUUGGCCACCUGAUACGAAGAACUGACUCAUUUGAAAAGACCCUGAUGCUGGGAAAGAUUGAAGGCAGGAGGAGACGGGGAUGACAGAGGAUGAGAUGGUUGUUUGGCCAUCACCAACUCAAUGGACAUGAGUUUGAGUAAACUCCGGGAGUUGGUGAUGGACAGGGAGGCCUGGCGUGCUGCAGUCCAUGGGGUCGCAGAGUCGGACAUGACUGAGCAACUGAACUGACCAAACUGCCACCUGUCCCCGUGGGCUGGGCCCACAAACUGACCCAAUGCACCCUCCCGUCACUGCUCUUGCACUCCAGGCCCACCGCCCAAGCCGGCCCAGGCCUCUUCCCCAUGGCCCCAUCCCUUCCACAAAAAAAAAAAAAAAAAAGACACUCUGCUCUCUCCACUUUGCACAAAAAUGUAUUUCUGUGACAUCCCAAAGUACAGACAUUUACCCGGGCCCCGGCUGGUAAAGCGAUGCGAUGUGAGCUCUGCCUGGGGUCUGGCGCAGGCCACGUGAGCAUGGAAGGGAGGGCAGAUGGGGCCCGUGUGCUGAGCGGAGGGGCCACAGGGCAGCUGGCCUUUCCCAGGGCUGGGGUGUGGGGGGAAGACCCCAGGGGAAGAAGACCGGGUGCUUCUCUCUCCCCUGGGCUGCUCAUCCUGCCUGUUCUGUCUGGAGGCAGAACGCCAGGAGAAUCGAAAGCACAGGCCUAGGGAAGGAGGGACGAAAAGCCACCCCCUAAGGGCCACCUGCAGUUGGCUCUGCUCCCUGGCCCCUUGUUCCAGACGGGGCCUCCUCCCCGCUGUCAGUGCUCCGAGAAGCAACUCGGAGUGAUGUCAAGGGAGGACCACAAGGUGUUUUUGAGAUACAUUUGUGUGUCUCACACACUUCUCUGAAACCCAACGCAGAGGUUUCCAAGGGGAAGCCUUGGGGCAAGGCAGGAGGGGGUGGAUGCUGGUUUGGAGGUGUCUGCCUGUGGCCGCCAGGCUGGCGUGGGGAGCCCCCCUGCCCAAAGAAAAGGUGUGGGCUCCUAUGGGCCACGGGGCAGGCAGGGGCCAGUGAGGCAGGCUCAGUUCUGCUGGUGGGGUGCCUGGGCACCGUGGGGGCUGCAGGCCGAUGAGGGGUGGGGAGACAGCGAGCCCCUGGCCCCCGGAGCUAUUGGCUUCCAGGGCGAGAGGCGGGUGGUGGGGUGCGCAGGUUCCGGGUAUGUUUGGCGGAAGGGGCAGUGGUGUCUGCCCGGGUUCUGACCAGCCCUGGGCUGGGGCCUUCCACAACCUGGGGCCUGGUGGGAGACUAGGACGCAGCCUCCAUAGCAGCGUGGCCUCAGGCAGGCCUGGCCAGAGGGCAGCAGAGCCACUGGGUGCCUUGAAGGCCCUCUGGGGCUGGGACUGCCUGGACCGAGGCAGGUACGGCUCACUUCCUUACCCCAGAGGCCCACAGCCAGGAGCACCAAGGCAUUGGGGAGACCCAGUGGGGUUAGUUUUUAAUCCCCAAACCCCAUCAGCUGCACUGAGGAACCUAGAUGGCGUUCUCAGGCUUCAGUGGGCGGAUUAGGAGGCUGGAGUGGGCUCUUGGGGGCCCCACUGCCUCUCUGAAUGGGAAGCGAGGCCAGGGUCGGAGAUUACAGGGCACCGGCCAGACACUCACAAUGUUAGAGGUGUUUAGUCUGGCAGGGGUGGGAGUGAGUGUGGCAGCGAUGAAGGCUUUGAAAGUAGGGGCUUGAGGAUGGCCAGGGAAGCUGCAAGGACUCAGGAGGUUAUUUCUUUUGUUUUUGUACAGAAAUCAUACACACAAAACUUCACACUUCCUAACCAAAAAAAAA